UUCUUCACUUUCAAGCCUGCCUUUUCCUGAACAGCGGGAAAGCAGUUCGAUGUGGGAUUAUGCAUGGGGUUUAGUGGAAAACGGGAACCAAAUUUGGUGCAAGACAUGGAGUGUGAAAUUUAGAGUGACCUGUUUAUAGAAUGCGUAACCGUUUUAUAAAAGUGCUAGCGAUAUCGCGUACUAUUUGAAUAAUUUCAUCAAAUUAGCAGGAACACAGGAGCGCAGUUUUACCUGCUUGAGUAAAGGGCCUGUGAGAAUUCACUAUGCGGAGUGAAAAACGUAGCUCUGAAAUAUUACGUUUUUGAAUGGGUCCACGCGACUCUGAUCUGAAGUUGCCUGGAUGGGAUGCACAGUGAGUUUCAUCUGUUGUGAAGACGACCACCUACAGUUUUCUCCUGACCAACAUGACAAAAAGAAAGAGAACAAGAAACUGUUGAAAAAGCCUGAGGAGUUUGAGGGGAUCCAUUCACACACCUUUCGGGUGAAGACAUUCAAGAAGAGCAAGCACUGUGGCGUGUGCAAACAGACCGUCAGCCAGGAGGGGCUAAUUUGCAAAGUGUGCCGGCUGACUUGCCACAAGACAUGUGAAGUGAAGGUAAGAGCAGCAUCUUUUCUCAGGGCUCUUAUGUUGCCGAAUGGGCAUGUCUAAGCAAUGGGAACGCAGUCUUUUUUAGGCAGCUACACUUUUUACAUGUAGGUUGUUAUGAACUGUCAUUACAUCUUAUGUCAUCACGUCACAUCUCAAGUGCACAAGAGUCAAGUACAGUGUAGCUCUACCAAGUCAUCCUCUGUUGACGCAACAGGAGGCUGCUGAGGGGAGGAGGGCUCAUAAUAAUGGCCGGAACGGAGAGCGAAUGGAAUGGCAUCAAAACACAUGGAAACCAUGGAAACCAUGUGUUUUACUGU
rnacentral:lncRNA from 1 species